GAUGAACGCUGGCGGCGUGCUUAACACAUGCAAGUCGAACGGAAAGGCUCCUGCUUGCAGGAGUACUCGAGUGGCGAACGGGUGAGUAACACGUGGGUGAUCUGCCCUGCACCUCGGGAUAAGCCUGGGAAACUGGGUCUAAUACCGGAUAGGACCACAUUUUGGAUGGUGUGGUGGAAAGUUUUUCGGUGUGGGAUGAGCUCGCGGCCUAUCAGCUUGUUGGUGGGGUAAUGGCCUACCAAGGCGUCGACGGGUAGCCGGCCUGAGAGGGUGUACGGCCACAUUGGGACUGAGAUACGGCCCAGACUCCUACGGGAGGCAGCAGUGGGGAAUAUUGCACAAUGGGCGCAAGCCUGAUGCAGCGACGCCGCGUGGGGGAUGACGGCCUUCGGGUUGUAAACUCCUUUCGCUAGGGACGAAGCGCAAGUGACGGUACCUGGAGAAGAAGCACCGGCUAACUACGUG
rnacentral:rRNA from 1 species